CUUUGACGAAAUAUCUGCACCAAAAGACGAUACAGAGCAACAAAAGAAGACGAAAGAUCAAAAUUUGAGCUCGAGAGAUGAAACAACAAUUGACCAAAACAGUAAAAAUAUAAAAAGAGCGAAAAGAGAAACAAUCAAUCAGAAAUGACAAGUGAUCAGGGCCAAUAAAGCGGCAAAACCCAAAAAUUGAAACUGCUUUUCUAAAAAGAAUCACUUAAAUCAUAUACCAAAAGAAUUGAACUUUCAUGAUAAGUCUGCUUGGAGAUUAUGAAUUGGGUAUCACAGCGAUCAUCACAUCACCAGUGAAUGCAAAGAUUUAGCUUAUUAAUGAUAUCGAUUAAAAAGAAUUCUGAAGUGUUAAUAAACAAACCUGCCAACAGAGCCAUAGGGUGAG
rnacentral:misc_RNA from 1 species